AGACAUUGAGCAGCAGUAUGAAGCAUCCAAUUGUAACUUUACAAUAUUUAAUACUGCUCCCAGGACACUACAGAAAAAAAAGCGAUGGUUAACAUACUAUUCUGUUACUGGAUAAGAUUGCAAGAUUCAGUUCCAUCCCCCUUUCCCUGAUUCAAGGAAAGUCCCCAGGGCUCCUGGAAGAGUGGGCCCUCCUCCCACGUCCUGCCCACUUCCUAGUAUAGUACUUGGAAUUAUGGUCUGAGAAGGGGGCCAGCGUACUGACUGGAACAGUGCUUUUUGAAAUCUUUAUUGAAGCCUACCGGUAUAUUUUUGGACUGCAGGAGAAAACCGAAGCACCUGAAUGAAACCCACGCAUAUUCUUAAAAGGCCACUUUCAUGUAUCAAGUUUGUAUGUUCAAUACUAACUUCACACAUGAAAGGGGACCUUCAAGAGUACUCUCUUCUAUGUCUCAGGACCAAGUGAGAGUGCACGUUCUACACUACAUUCUCAGCCCAACCCUGUCAGCUCUGUCCUGAAAGAGAUUCCCAUAGCCUUUAUUUGUAAAAUUGAAAUGCCGGCUUUCGGGAUGCUGGCGGUCAGAAUACUGAUGCGGCAUACCGAUGUUGAGAAUCCUUACAGGAGAAGGGGUUUCCUAAUGGGUGUGUUUGAUGAUUCUUCUUGUCCUAAAUCUCGACAGCCCUCAGCUGAUCUGUGCAAUGCUUCUGUCAAACUCACCUAUAAAAUGCUGGUCUAUUUAUAGGCAAGUUAUUGGGAACUGGAAGAGCUAAUAGUUGUGAGACCAUUAUUGCAUAAAGCACAAUCUAUUCUACAUUGUUAGGAUAGAGCUACCACUUGACCUGGUUUUUCAAGGAAAGUGCAGGUUAUUGCCGCUGGAAAGGCCUGAAAACAGAUUCUACAUUAUUCUUUAUUUUUUAGGAAAUCCUUUUAUUCAUUCUCACCAGCACUGCUCAUUAAUUCCUUUAUGACUAUUUGCCAAAAAUCUUGGAGAUGUAAGUGACGAACACAGUGAGUGUUUCCACCAGGAUUUAUCAGUGAUGGAAACUCGCUACCAAGGAAAAUGGAAAACAAAUAUGCUUGCAGAUUAUUGCUGGACACUAAAAAGAGAUGUUCCUCAAGCUAAAUACAGCAGAAAAAACAUUAAAAGUUCUUCUAGGUGACUUAUUUGCAUAUGUAUUGUGAAUAUUAAAGAAAAUUCCAAAUUUAA